rnacentral:rRNA from 1 species
AGCGAACGCUGGCGGCAUGCCUAACACAUGCAAGUCGAACGAGACCUUCGGGUCUAGUGGCGCACGGGUGCGUAACGCGUGGGAACCUGCCCUUAGGUUCGGAAUAACUCCCCGAAAGGGGUGCUAAUACCGGAUAAUGUCUUCGGACCAAAGAUUUAUCGCCUUUGGAUGGGCCCGCGUUGGAUUAGCUAGUUGGUAGGGUAAAAGCCUACCAAGGCGACGAUCCAUAGCUGGUCUGAGAGGAUGAUCAGCCACACUGGGACUGAGACACGGCCCAGACUCCUACGGGAGGCAGCAGUGGGGAAUAUUGGACAAGGGGCGAAAGCCUGAUCCAGCAAUGCCGCGUGAGUGAUGAAGGCCUUAGGGUUGUAAAGCUCUUUUACCCGGGAUGAUAAUGACAGUACCGGGAGAAUAAGCUCCGGCUAACUCCGUG